GAUGAACGCUAGCUACAGGCUUAACACAUGCAAGUCGAGGGGCAGCAUUUCGCUAGCAAUAGUGAAGAUGGCGACCGGCGCACGGGUGAGUAACACGUAUCCAACCUGCCGAUAACUCGGGGAUAGCCUUUCGAAAGAAAGAUUAAUAUCCGAUGGCAUAUUAAGAUCGCAUGGUUUUACUAUUAAAGAAUUUCGGUUAUCGAUGGGGAUGCGUUCCAUUAGUUUGUUGGCGGGGUAACGGCCCACCAAGACUACGAUGGAUAGGGGUUCUGAGAGGAAGGUCCCCCACAUUGGAACUGAGACACGGUCCAAACUCCUACGGGAGGCAGCAGUGAGGAAUAUUGGUCAAUGGGCGAGAGCCUGAACCAGCCAAGUAGCGUGAGGGAUGAAGGCUCUAUGGGUCGUAAACCUCUUUUAUAUGGGAAUAAAGUUUUCCACGUGUGGAAUUUUGUAUGUACCAUAUGAAUAAGGAUCGGCUAACUCCGUGCCAGCAGCCGCGGUAAUACGGAGGAUCCGAGCGUUAUCCGGAUUUAUUGGGUUUAAAGGGAGCGUAGGUGGAUUGUUAAGUCAGUUGUGAAAGUUUGCGGCUCAACCGUAAAAUUGCAGUUGAAACUGGCAGUCUUGAGUACAGUAGAGGUGGGCGGAAUUCGUGGUGUAGCGGUGAAAUGCUUAGAUAUCACGAAGAACUCCGAUUGCGAAGGCAGCUCACUAGACUGCAACUGACACUGAGGCUCGAAAGUGUGGGUAUCAAACAGGAUUAGAUACCCUGGUAGUCCACACAGUAAACGAUGAAUACUCGCUGUUUGCGAUAUACAGCAAGCGGCCAAGCGAAAGCAUUAAGUAUUCCACCCUGGGGAGUACGCCGGCAACGGUGAAACUCAAAGGAAUUGACGGGGGCCCGCACAAGCGGAGGAACAUGUGGUUUAAUUCGAUGAUACGCGAGGAACCUUACCCGGGCUUAAAUUGCAAAUGAAUAAUCUGGAAACAGGUUAGCCGCAAGGCAUUUGUGAAGGUGCUGCAUGGUUGUCGUCAGCUCGUGCCGUGAGGUGUCGGCUUAAGUGCCAUAACGAGCGCAACCCUUAUCUUUAGUUACUAACAGGUCAUGCUGAGGACUCUAGAGAGACUGCCGUCGUAAGAUGUGAGGAAGGUGGGGAUGACGUCAAAUCAGCACGGCCCUUACGUCCGGGGCUACACACGUGUUACAAUGGGGGGUACAGAAGGCAGCUACCUGGCGACAGGAUGCUAAUCCCAAAAACCUCUCUCAGUUCGGAUCGAAGUCUGCAACCCGACUUCGUGAAGCUGGAUUCGCUAGUAAUCGCGCAUCAGCCAUGGCGCGGUGAAUACGUUCCCGGGCCUUGUACACACCGCCCGUCAAGCCAUGAAAGCCGGGGGUACCUGAAGUACGUAACCGCAAGGAGCGUCCUAGGGUAAAACUGGUAAUUGGGGCUAAGUCAUAACA
rnacentral:rRNA from 1 species